rnacentral:tRNA from 1 species
GGGCCUGUAGCUCAGCCUGGAAAGAGUAUUAGCCUUCUAAGCUAAGGGUCGCAGGUUCAAAUCCUGCCAGGCCCG